rnacentral:lncRNA from 1 species
UUAGUUGUAGUUGGACACAAUACCUUUAUUUCACUUAUUUAUUUUUAUGUGGUGCUGAGGAUCGAACCCAGGGUCUCGCAUGUGCCAGGCAAGCGCUCUACUGCUGAGCCACAAUCCCAGCAUUGGAAACUUUUUUAAUGAAUAAGUAAAAAAUGUUUAUAUUUAUGUUGUCCAACAUGAUGUGCUGAUGUAUAUGUACAUCAUGGAAUAGUUAAAUCAAGCAUUUUAACCUUUGUAUCACUUCACAUACUUUUUGUGUGUGGUAAAAAUACUUAAAAUCUACUCUCUUAGCAGUUUUCUUCCUGACCCAGUAGAGGAUUGAACUUAAGGACACUGGACCACUGAGCUAUAUCCCUAGCCCUUUUCAUUUUUUAUUGAGAAAUGGUCUCACUAAGUUGCCUAGUCUGGCCUGGAGCUUGUGAUCAUCCUGCCUCAGCCUCCACAGUAGCUGGGAUUAUAGGUAAGCAUCCAGCAGCAAGUUUCCAAUAUACAGCAUAUUGUUAUUAACUCUAGUCACCAUGGAGUAUCAAUGGUCUCCUGAACUAUUCCUCUUAACUGAAAGUUUGUUUUGUUUGACAAACAUCUGUAUACCCACUGCCUUCCUUCCUGCAGCCUUUGAUAACCAUUGUUUUACUCUGUUCCUGUGAGUUCAACAUUUAUUGCACUGUACAUAUAAUGAGAUGUUGCAGUAUUUGACUCUGUGCUUGGCUUAUUUCCCCAAGCAUAAUGUUCUCCAGGUUCAUUCAUGUUGUCACAAAUGAUGAUUUCCUUCCUUUUUAAGGCCAAAUAGUAUUCUUUUAUAUAUAUUUUUUCUCCAUAUUUUCUUUAUCCAUUCCUUAGUGGACACUUCGGUGUUUCCAAAUCUUGGCUACUGUGAAUAUUGUAGAGCCGAGAUUGCAGAUAUCUCUUCAACACUCUGUUUUUAUAUUCUUUGAGUAUAUGUUAAGUGGUAAUAUUGCUUGCUGGAUCAUGUAGUAGUUCUACUUUUUGUUUUUUUGAAGAACUUUUUUUCAUAAUGGCUGUACUUAUUUACAUUUCUACACAAGGAUUGCCUUUUCUUCACAUUCUUACCAACACUUAUUUUGGGUCUUUUUAAAGUAAUAACCAUUCUAGCAGGUGUGAGGUGAUGUCUCGAGUUUUCAUUGGCUUUCCCCUCAUGAUUUAGUGAAACUGAGUGUUUUUCAUCCUUGUUGACAUUGCAUAUCUCUUUUAAGAACUGUCAGUUCAGGGGCUGGGUGUGUAGCUCUGUGACAGAGUGCUCACCUGGCACAUGUGAGGCACUGGGUUCGAUCCUCAGCACCACAUAAAAAUAAAUAAAUAAAGAUAUUGUGUUCAUCUACAACUAAAAAACUUUUUUUAAAAAAGGACUAUCAAUUCAAGUCACCUGCCCAUUUUUUAAUUGGGUUAUCUGUUUUGUUUUUUUUUUGUAUUAAAUUGUUUGAAUUCCUUACAUAUUUUGGAUAGUAACCCCUAUUCAAUAUAUGGUUUGAAAAUAUAUUCUCCUGUUCUGUAGAUUAUCUCCUCACUCUCCUCAUUUGUUAAUUUUUGCUCUUAUUACCUGUGCUCUUGAGGUUAUAUCCCCAAAAAACCUUUGCAUGGACUAAUGUUUUAGGACUUGGGCUUUCCCUGUUUUCUUUCUAGUAUUUUUACAGUUUCUGAUCUUUUUAUAGUUGUUGUUCUGAGAAUUGAACCCAGGGUGCUUUACCACUGAGCUGUAUACCCAGCACUUUUUAGUUUUUGAGACAGGACUUUCUAAGUUGCUGAGAGUCUCCCUAAGUUGCUGAGGCUGGCCUUGAACUUGUGAUCAUCCUGCCUUAGCCUCCCAAGGAGCUAGGAUUAUAGCUAUGUGCCACUGUGCCUGACUCAUCCAUUUUGAGUUGAUUUUUGAAUAGUAUGAGAUGAGGACCCAAUUUCAUUUUUCUGCAUGUGGAUGUCCAGUUUUCCUCGCACCAUUUAUUGAAGAGACUAUCUCUUCCCCAUUGUAUGUUCUUGGCAUCUUUGGAGAAGAUAGGUUGAUUAUAAAUGCAUGGAUUUAUUUCUGGGCUAUUUUAUUUCAUUGGUCUAUGUGUCUGUUUUUAUGCAGAUACACUAACCCUCCUAGGAUUCACUCUGUACUACAAGCAGAAUUCCUGUUUUGUUCAAAGUACAAUUUUAAUGAAAGCAAUUAACCCACACACACCCCGCAAUCCCUAGCUUAAAACAUUUUAAUGACUUUUCAUUGCUUUUAUAAUGAAAAAAUAUUUUGUAUGAGCUAUUGGGUCACAUAUAUUAAGACCACUCUUUGUACUGUGGUUCUGAGUAUUAAAUAAGUUAAUGUUUGAAAAGAUAGAAUUGGUGGACACAUCACCUAAAAACACUAUUAUUAUUAUCAUUUAGCCUCAUUUUGUACCAUGUUUUACUUUGUUCUACCUCCAUUGUCCUGGAGUGAGAAUUAAAGUGCUUCAUUCAUCACAAACUUUUUUUUUUUCAGUACUGGGAAUUGAAUUGAUCAUGGGAUUUUUGUUAAUGCUGUUCCUUUGGCUUAAAGUACAGAUCCUCCCCAUUGCCUAUUUAAUUCUAUUUGUCUGGUUUCUAACACGGAGUAAGAACAACUGUUACAUAUUCUCACAUGACCAUGCACCUCUAGCAUUUAAUGCCUUUGUAAUUUUGUAUGUAUUUGUUUGAUUAGUGUCAGACCUAGUUUGUAAACUCCAUGAAAGCAAGAAUUUUGUUUUUGUCAUUGUUAAACUUUGUUCCUGGCACAUAGUAGCUGUUCAGUGAACUUACUGAAAGAAUAAAAUGGUUGGGUACAGUGGUGCAAGCAUGUAAUCUCAGAGGCUUGGAAGCUGAGACAGAAGGAUCAUAAGUUUAAAGCCAGCCUCAGCAAUUUAGUGAGACCCUGUCUCAAAGGAUGUAGGGUAAUGAUGUGGCUUAGUAUUUAAGUACCCCCUCGGUUCAAUCUCUUGUAACACAACAACAACAAAAAAAAAAAGAAAAUGAGUGGAUGAGAUAAAAAGGAUAUUUUCCAGGUAUUGAAUAUUUCCUUUCAUUUUGUUUGAAGAAAGAUAGAACAUAGGCAGAAAGGUAGUUGCUCUAGUUAUUAAAAGGGAAAAUACUUUGUGUCUAAGAGGGAAAAAAAAAGAGGGAAAUAGAAUGGGACUAUUUGCCAUACUGUGUUCAGGGUAGGGAAUAUCUGAACCUCUAGUUGAUUUGUCAUAAAUAGAAAAUAAGCUCAUCACUUUGUGGUACUGCUACAGUGCCAGAAUGUCAUCUGGCUUUUAUUGUAAUAUAUGGUGUUGUGGCUGUUGAGAUCUGCCAGUCCCAUUUGCUAAAUGGAAUGGAAACAAAGCCAAAAGAGUAGUGUUUGAAAUAGCUUCUCUUUGGGAAACAAAUUGAUACUGAGAUUUAAUUUCAAUUAUACCUAAUUCCUUCAAAUGCAAAGAAUUUGAUUUUAGCUUGCACAUUGAGUGAUAUGGAAAAUAAAUUUUGAACUAUGUUCUAAUUUUCCUUUUCAAAUACAUUAAUUACCAAAAGUUAGGCUUAUUUAGAAUAUAGAAACAUUAAAGCAGUGAUGUUUUUUAUUUAAUAUGUAUUUAUUUUUUAUUUUGUUUUUUAGUUGUAGUUUGGACACCAUACAUUUAUUUUAUUUUAUUUUUAUGUGGUGCAAAAGAUCGAACCCAAUGCCUCGCACGUGCUAGGCAAGCACUCUACCACUGAGCUACGGCCCCAGCCCAAAGCAGUAAUGUUUUUAAAAGACUAUUUCAUGAAAUUAUAAUACUUGAUCCAUUUUUGUUUUGGUUCUUGGGAUGGUCUUUUUUGAAAGGCACAAAAAUGAACGUGAAAAUGUAAGCAUGAUGGUUUCUUACAAAUCAUUAGAUAUAAUCCAUCUUAAAGUGAAGGGAAAUUCAUGUUAAUGUUGAAAUAUUGAAACUGAACAUAUAUGUUGUAGACACUAUUGUGUUGCCUUAGCAGAUUUUGAGAAUUUAAAUCUUUUUAGAGAAAUUGAGAAAUAUGAAAUCAAAUUCAUGUCUUUUUUCUGCUUAGUAUGUAAUAUAAAACAUGCAAUACAUUUUUGGUUUUAGGAAGAGUAAUCACCAGGAAUAAUAAUCUGUGUUUUAAAAAUUCUGAAACUAUAUAAACAAAGAGGCAAUACUGUAUAAGUUUUUAUUUUCAAUGUUCUUUGUGUUAUCAAUCAAAAGUCAAUUUGUUAUUUACAAUUUAUACUAAACUCUGGCAAGUGAGAUUUCUUGUAUUUCUUAUAUUCAUUGACUAUGUUUAGAAAAGUUAAGCAUUACAGAAGCUAGGAGAAUAGAGUGGUGAUUAAAUCUGACAUAAUUCAGCAAAGCAUUUUUAUUGUUAUGACAAAAAACUUAAAUGCUGAAUCACACAUCAUCAAGAAUAAAUAAGAUUUUAUGGGCUAGGGAUAUAGCUCAGUUGGUAGAGUGCUUGCCUUGCAUGUACAAGGCCCUGGGUUCAAUUCCCAGCAUCAUAAAAAUAAAAAAUAAAAAUAAAUAAAUAAGAUUUUAAAAAAAUGAACACAAAGAGAAAGAUCAGACGUAUACUUGAAAGAUAUGGAUGAAAUAAAUUCAUUGGAGUAUGAUGAGAAGUUCAUACUUUUCAAUAUUUAAAAUAACUCCAACUAUAAUAGAUACAUAGUAUAGUCAGAGAAGGAACAUUUAAAAGUAAUCAUGGGCUGGGCACAAUGGAGUAGGCUUGCAAUCCCAGCAACUCAGAAGACUGAGGCAAGAAGAUCACAAAUUCAAGGCCAUCCUGGUCAAUUUAGUGAGAUCCUGUCUGGGGGAUGUAGCUCAAUGACAAAGUGCCCCUGGGUUUAAUCCCCAGUACUAAGGGGGAAAAAAGUAACCAUAGUGAACAAGUAUAAGGAAAUAUGUUGAACAAAAUUUUAAUAAUUAAGCACAUGAGAAAGAUCUGCGAUAAUUCAUUUGGCAGAUAUCAUUUAAAUUAAAACCUAAAGGAUAAUAAAAGCACAUAUAGAAGUUCUUAAGUUUAUUAUGAAAAAGGUCAGAUGUAAUUCUUUAAAAAUGGUCUUCCCACAGUGUUAAUUUAUUGGAAUCUGUUAUGAUUCCAAUAAAAAAGUGAGCAGGAUCACUUGCUGCUAUUGGAGUCAUUUUAUCAUGACUGUAAUAUUGGGGCAAUUUAAUGUGUUGUUUGAAUUCAAUAUAUAUGCUUUAUAAUUCUUAUUGACAUAAUUAAAAUAGGAAUUUUAAACAUAUUUCUUGCUUUAUUCACUCUGUUUCUUGCAAUAAUAAGAGAUUUCAAUAUAAAGCAUUGGAAUUAUGAAGGCAAAAGUAUUCCAAAGAGAACUGAAUUAUACUAUUAUAAACAUUGAUGUGGCUAUAUCAUUAUAGUAUGCUGUUUUUACUUUUUUGGAUAAAUCCUGAGGAAUGGGAUAGCUGGAUCAUAUGGCCAUUCUAUUCAUAGUUUUUUGAGGAAUCUCUGUACUGCUUUCCAG